AUGCCCCUGGUGGAUAAACUUUCUAAUAAAAUGAAGGGCUGGAAACCAAAGCUUUUGCCGGCAGCGGGGCGGCUCACUCUGGUAAACUCGGUGCUCAUGGCGCUGCCGCUUCACCUAAUGGCAGUGCUUCCUCUGCCGGUCUGGGCGAUCAAGCUCAUAAACAGAAGGUGUCGGGGGUUCAUUUGGGAAGGGGAGGAGGCCAUCAGUGGUGGGCACUGUCUAGUGCCAUGG
rnacentral:rRNA from 1 species